rnacentral:other from 1 species
AAAUCCCUGCGGUGCUCGUUGGAAAUUCGAUAAUUGUUGAACCAACACCUUUAUCACGGGAGCCAAAACUUCUUGAUACGCCUUGGCGUCCAAGAGAGGCACCCACCUGAAACCAGAUUUGGUUCAGACUAUCCUUCCGACGGCACAAUGCGGGGAUUUA